GUAAUGCAAUGGUUUUGUCAUGUUGCCCAGGCUGGUCUUGAACUCCUGGGCUCCAGCAUCUGCCUGCCUCAGCCUCCCAAAGUGCUGGGAUUACUGGCGCGAGCCACUGUGCCCAGCCCCAUUUCAGUGAACUUUUUAUUAAAAUAUUAUAUACAAACAGGAAACAGCACAAAUUGUAAAUAUAUUUGUGUGUAUGUGUGCAUGUGUAUCACACCUGUCAUCAAGAAAGAACAUUACCAACACCCCAGAAGCCCUGCUAAUAUAUCCUCCCUACUCUCCAAAGGUAACUACAUCUCCUGACUUGCAACACCAUAAAUUAAUUUUGCCUUUGUUUUGAACCUGUAUACAGAAUCAAACAAUAUAUAUUCUGAGUGUCUGGUUUCUUUCUCUCAACAUUAUGUUUGUGAGAGUUACUCACUUCUUGAAUAUUCAUCAAUUCAUUAGUUUUCACAGCUAUACAGUCUGUCAAGAAUAUACAUAAGGAGUAGAACUGCUGGGCUUUAUGGUGUGCAAAUCUUCCACUCUCAUAGAUAAUUCUAGUUUCCCAAAGUGGUUAAACUAAUGUAGAUUCCCAUCAGCAGUACAUGAAAGCUCCCCCUGCUCUGUUUCUUGCUGACACCUGAUGGUGUCUUUUUUAAUUUGGCCACGCAGAUGUAUAAGGGCAUCUAAAUUAUACUGAAGCUGUUGUGGGAGUAUGUCAAUGUCAUAGAGAAUUAUAAAAAAGUUUGGGGCCGGGCGCAGUGGCUCAUGCCUAUAAUCCCAGCACUUUGGGAAGCUGAGGCAGACUGCUUGAGCCCAGGAGUUCAAGACCAGCCUGGGCAACAUG
rnacentral:lncRNA from 1 species